rnacentral:lncRNA from 1 species
CAGCAUCAUAAUUGCCUUAGAGACCAAAGUCACUUCCCUUCCACUGGAAUCUGGCUUGUAAAAACAGAAGAAAAUUAUAUACCAAAGUUCUCCAUUUAGAUUUUUAGGAUCCCUACUUUAAUAACCUUUGUUUUUAUUCUACCAGACGUAAUCAAAGCCAACCAAGUCAAUUUAAAUUAGGAGGGGCAAGGUACAUCCAAGCCCCAGAAACCCUGGAACGAAUGUACUGUAAAACAGGAAGAGAUCCCUCACCUUGAUUAUAACAAUAUAAUUAUAGCAGACGUCAUGUGUCAAUCAAAUAAUACACACCUGAUUUUUUUCUAAUCUAGAAGAGGAGUGAAGCAUAUUUUUAAUUAUAGCCCUUUUUAAAAAUAUCCCUUAAGUGUGUUAUGCUUGGUAAAUUAACUUUUAGAAGAAUGAAACAUACCUUACAUAACUUAAUAUGUGACAACUACCUGCAACAAUUGCCCUCUCCCAAUGAAGCCCAUCUUCCAAAAUCCAUCUUAUAUUUUUCAUUUCUUAGAAGCUAGAUAGGCUCAACUAUAUCUUUUGAAUGUCAAUAAAAUCUGAUUUUGUCCAUGUGUUGUUUAAAAUAUUCUCUAAUCUUACAGAACAAUGAAAAACAGCAUAAAAAAUCUGAGAGGAAGUAUUUAAAACAUCACUUUGUUGGGAAUGACUAUGUUCUGGACGUUAAAAAACUACCAGCUUGCUAAGAGCAAAUGCUCCAAGGCUCUUACGAAAAAAUGCUGGAGAGCAGUAUUACGACAUCCAUGAUGUCCACAUAAGGUGUCCUAGGUUGUAACAGAAUAGUGCCAAGCAGGUAAAAAUUACUCAAAGAAUUUUUAUUCUUUCCAAAAUUGUAAUCAAAUAAAUUUAAUAAACAAUAUUUAUUAGAAGUACCUAGAUCAGGGGCCAGCCCCACGGCCUAGUGGUUAAGUUUGGUGCACUCUGCUUUGGCAGCCCCAGGUUCAGAUCCCUGGCAUGGACCUACACCACUCGUCAGCCAUGCUGUGGCAGUGACCCAUUCAUAAAGUGGAGGAAGAUUGGCACAAAUGACAGCUCAGCACGAAUCUUCCUCAAGCAAAAAGAGGACGACUGGCAACAGAUGUUAGCUCAGGGUGAAUCUUCCUCAGCAAAAACAAAAAUCCAGUUGACCAAACAACUACAUAGAUCAUGGAAGUAUUUUUAACUAUAUAAGCAAUCUCUGGGAUGUGAGUUCAUAGCCUGAACUCAACCAAGUGAAGUCCCUGCAGAGACAGUUGCUUCUGUUGCGGGGAGGGGAUGGAAAGGUUAGAGUCCUAAAUUGACAGUGACAUGAUGGCAGGAGUGAGUCAAGAGUAAGCGACAAGAAAGAUUGGUCCUAAGGAGGCAGCUGAGAGAAGGGAAGCUCAUGGGCUCACUGAGCUGUACCAUCAGGGCUUGGUGCCUUUCAGAGAGGUGAAGGAAGAGGACUGAACAAGGAUUCAGGUAAGAUUCCCUAGUGCAGAGGGAAUUUUUCAAAGGGUUACACGAAGAGAAAAAUCAGAAAGCUUGGAGCAUAAUUAGAAAGCUGGGAAGUUAUUCUAAGGAAGGAAACAUCUGGGCUGUGUGUGCUGUUGGGGAAGGGGAUUCUGAGCUGGUUACUGAUAUUUAAUCACCUGUACUACUUAGGUUUGCCAAGUCUGAGUGGGGUGGAAUGUCUGACAGACACUCCAGAUGAGGGGAAAAAAGACCCAGAGAUCAAAUUAGUUUGUGAAUCCCAGAGUGGGAUGGAGACAUUGUGACACAAUGUUAAGAGCAUGAGCUCUGGAAAUCAGACAGAUUUGUGUGAUGGUUAAUUUGUUUGUUAACUUGACUGGGCCACAGGGUAGCCAGAUAUUUGAUCAAACAUUAUUCUGGGUGUUUCUGUGAGAGUGUUUUUGGAUGAGACUAACAUUUAAAAUGGUACACUAAAUAAGGUAGACUGCCCUCCAUAAUGAAGGGCCUCAACCUUCCUGCCUGAUGGCCUUUGAAAUGGGACAUUGGCUUUUUCCUGCCUUUGGACUCGGAAUAGAACUACACCAUCAGCUCUCCUGGGUCCCCAGCUUGCCGACUCACCCUGCAGAUCUUGGGACUUGUCAACCUUCAUAAGUGCGUGAGCCAACCCAUUAUAAUAAAUCUCUUUAUACAUAACUCUUAUAUAUGUUACAGAUGUGUGUGUAUAUAUAUAUAUAUUAUAUAUACACACACAUCUUAUUGGUAACAUGUUAUUGGUUCCGUUUCUCUGGAGAACCUAAUACAGCCUGGGUUCAAAAUCAUGGCUGCUUCUUAAGAGCCACAUGACCUUAAGCAAAGCCCCUUAACCUCCCUGAGCCUAUAAAAUGGAAAUAAUAAUCCAUUUAGCAUUGGAUUGUAAUAAGGAUUAACUGAAAUAAUUUCAUAAAGCAAUGAGCACAGGGCCUGGCACGUGCUCAAUAAAUUGUUGAGUAAUUUGUUGCUGUUAAUUUUAUUAUUAUUAUAGAAGGCUCUCUUUUGAAAAAAAAUCCAGGUGGAACAGGGCCUAAAGACGUAUUCUUGAUGAGGAGGAUGGUAUGAAAAUCAGUAGGAAUUGUCAAAGCCUAACUUAGCCCACAGCAGUGUCCCUUGCUCUUUCCUUCUCGUCUUCUCUCCUAUUCUCAUGAAAGCUACUUUCUGUGUUUCAUCACACUCGUAACUCUUGGUACGGAAAAACCCAGCUGAACCGCUUUCUAAAACCCUAAUUAAAAUCUUGUUAAAAAUCUUCCAAAUACACAUCACUCUUUCUUGACUUAAUUAAUUAAACAUAGAAUAUAAAAAUCUGGACCUUCUGAUUUAGGAUUUUGCAAAGGUCCUAGGCUAUUACUGAAAAUAUCAGUAAUAACUGUAACAUACCAUAUAUUUAUUUCCAAAACUAAAUCUCCGAUAGCAACUUAAUUUGCUGUCAUUAGCCUUUCACAAAAUUGAGUGUGGCAUCAAUUCCAGUUUGCAAAAAGUUCUGGCUAGUAAAACUCGACUGUAAAAGUCCCCUCUCUUUGACAAUGGUGACAUCUAAGGAAAAGAAUAAGUACAACCUCUUCAUUUGAUAUCCUUAAAUGUUCUCUCAGGGUAGACAUGAAGAAUCACCGUGCAGAAACUGAUUCUAUUUCAAAUGUACACGUUCCAUUCAGCAACCGGUCUUAACUACCAACAGAAGCAGGAGAGGUUCUAAAACGCCUAUCUUUUAAAAAAAGUGAAGACUAGCCAAGCCCUCUGUGACAAGAACCUGACUAAUGUCAGUGUGUGGAUUCCAGUUAUGGCCUGGAUUGCUGGACAAAGUACUAUCAUCUUGAAUCUAAAAGUACACCACACUACUUAGAUCCCAAAUAAUUGAGAGUUUGGUUGUUGGUUUUAAUUUUCCUUGGCUCCUUCCUCACGCGUGGUGGAGGUGGUGGGAAAGGUUAGGGCGGGCUUGGAAAAGGAGGAGAGUGUGUCCCCUAGAGCAGCAAUAAACGUCUGCAGAGCAAUCCUCUCAACUAUAAAAAACUCUUCCUUCCCAAAAAGUGCAAUCUGGUUUGAGAAACCGACAUUAAUUCAACAAAACACUACAAAAAAAUGUAGCUCUUAUUACAUGCUAGCACUGUUCUACAAGCUAGAGAUACAAAGACAGACAAAAAGAUGCUAAAGAUACAAAGUUCACAGCCCCAAGAGCUUAAGUCUAGUGGGAGGAACAAACCUGUAUUCAACCACAACACAGUGAACAAUAGCUGAGUAACAGAUGGAGCUCAAACAGAGCAGGUAAGACUCGGGGCAGGAAGACUACAGAAGCGCUAACAGGCUGCCUACAGGAUGCAGGUGGCCCAUUCCGAGGUUAAGUAUUUUUUUAAGGAAAAACUCAACUUCCGGACUAAAAACCCUAAGUUCUGAACGUGAGGGCUUUUAUGUUAAGGCUCUUAUACAUUAUACACACACACAAUAAUAACCCCCCCCCACAGGGAAAUUAGCUCAUUUUCAGAACAUGAUUCACCAUCAUUCACACCUGCUCAAUUUAAGACCCUCCCCAAACAGGCAUUACAGUGAAGACAAUGUGGUAGCAACCGUGCAAAACCUAGGACAAAGAGACUUCUGUUGCUUUAUGAACAAUAUAAAGCAGUACGCAUACUUCUGGAUGUAUUUAAUUAUUAGACUGUCAGUCCUUUUUACACUGUGUUAAGAUGGAUACUGAAUGCAGAAUAAAGCCCUAAACACUUGCAGUUUUCAUAUUUAAAUCAGGAAAAAAUCUCCAAUUUACAAAGGCUAAUGUCUAUUUUUGGAAAACAAACGAAAAUUACACAUCUGGAUUUACAGAUUUCUGCUAUCCAUUCAUGUCAGGAUCCCCAAAGCCACCUUUAUUCCACAACUAACUUUCCACCCUUUCUUUCUAAGGGCAUACCAAGUUGUUUUUUUUUAAGGUUAUAGCUUUCGAAAACUGGAAAUAGAAAUUUUUAACCGCCCAACAGUUGGAAAAGGUUCUCAUACUACCCUUUGACAUUUCCAAUUUAUCACUGUAUUUAAUACUUUUUUUUUUGGUACCAUCCAACACCCUUCAUCUAACAAGGUCCAAGGCUUCCUGAACACUGCUUUGUAAGCUGCCUCGCAGACAAACCCUGUGAAACCUGAGGUCGCCACACCAGCGGCAGGAUGCAGGUCACUGGACCACGGCAGCCCACUCUGCAGUCAACAGUGCGGGUCACUUUACGCUGACAGAGCUGCUCUCCAGCACCUCCCCCGGCACACACACACCCAAAGCACAGGAGAGUGUCCAUUUCACAAGGUGUCCGGCACUGCUUUCCUUAAAACGAAGCUUCUAUCUGGAAGGUCACCUUGGUCCCCGCGCGGCUCGGGACCGAGCGCCUGGGCUCUGUGACAUCAGCGUUGGCUUCUCAACCGCUGACCUUCAGGCCCCAGAGCUUGGCCCGACCCUAGAACGGCCACCGCCCUUCACACCGCGGAGGGCGGCGUCCCUCCCACCGCCGCGCCGAAUUCGGGCUUGGCGACUCGCUGGGGGGUCCCGGGCGCCCCCCACCCGCCCCGACGGCCAAGCGCCCGGAGCCCGCCCCACGGCCGCCCCUGAGGGCUGUCGUCCCGACAGGCUCGGUCCACUCCGCCCGCCGAGCCCUCGCCGAGCCCCGCUGCUGUGCUGACUUCAGCCCACAUCGCACCCCAGCCACCAGGGAACUUUCCAGAACGUUGGCCCUCUCUGGGAAGUCCCGAGUCGCCAUCCAGGAGGGAGCGCCCACCUGAGGCCUGGCGGGCUCGGGGCCGGGCCGCACGCGGAGCGCACCCUUCGGGCCCAGCCUCCGGAAGCGCUAUUCAGUCGCCGCGGGGCGCCACCCCUCGGGCCGGGCCCGCCGCUCCAGGGGCACCGACGGCGGCGCAGCAAGACACGGGAGAGCACCGCGCCCCCAGCCCGCCAGGAGCCCCCUGCCCGCCUAGACCUCGCCCGACCCCCCGGAGGCAGCCCGAGCUAAAAUUAGCGCCGAGCGCGCGGCGCGCUCACGUGCGCCCCGCGGGACGGGGUGCGGGUGAGUCACGGCCCCGCCCCCCUCGCCGAGGACGCGCUGACGUCAGCCGCUUCCCCGAAGGAUGACGUCAGCGCGCCUCGGGGAGGCCGCGAGGCCUCCGUAGAACGUUCACUGAGUUUCGAUGUCUUAAAGGGACCAGGCCUUGGAUCGUGAAAGAUCUAGAGCGAUGACUGCUCUCGCUCACCCGUGGAGGCAGAACUUGUCUUAUAUCUCUUUGUCCGGAGAAGUGUUGGCUAAGAUGAUGUUGAAAAAAAGAAGAGCACCUGAACCUCAUUGGAAGCUCCCCGAAGCCUCAGAACCUCCUCCUGGAAGCCCUCUGUGAUUAACCGGAAUCUCAUCCUUACUCAAAAGUCAGGAAGUUUUCUAUGGCCCUUGACUCCCUAUCCCUUCACUUCCAGCUGCUCCCCGUAUGCUUAUAUCUCUGCUCGUAGAGAAAGGCUGUGCUUUGAAUGUUUAUGUAUAUAAUCCAUCAAUUUAGGGCAGCUUGGCCCAUUUAUCUGUGUCCGAACUCUGCCAUUAGUCAUGUGACCUGCAGCAAGUUAUUUAACUCUGGGUCUGAAAUUCCUGAACUGGUCCCCAAACCCUCCUCUUAUGCUAAUACUGCCUGCGAAAUUUCCAGAGGUUCGAUCUUACAGCUGGAUCUUUCAGCCCUGUCGCAAUAGCCUCACAGGGAGCUAACAAUUUACUGAGGUUUACUAUGUGGCAGGUGUUUUCAUUAUCCUCUUUGUCCCCCUCGUUUAACCCUAUCGCCCGCCCCUCUGAGGUUGAUAUUAAUUGCCCCAUUUUACUGACAAAGAAGGAAAUCUAAAUGUGUUUCCCUAGGUUACACAGCUAAAGAAUGGCAAACAGGAAGUCAUUCCCAGGUCAGCUGGACUCUGAGUCUGUGUUUUGGUGACGAAGAUGGGCUAUGAAAUCUAUGUCUUAUUCGGGGUAUGUUGAGUCCCCUAGAACCUGCUUUUUCCCUUUUAAUGCAAUCCCAGGGCCUCUGACCCAGUGACCCACUCCACCCCAGAAGAUCCCUGGAGAAGGAGGGUCAGGCAGGUGAGAAGGUGCCCUGUUGCAGGUGCUCAUCCUGCGUUUCCACCCUAAGCACCUCACUCGCCUCACCCUAGGCCCAGCCCUGCCAGGCCUACCCUUGACUCUCUUUUCUCUCUUGAAACCAGAGAGGGCAUCCCUCUUAAAGCAUCCCCAUCUGGCACACCAGCAGCCAGCUCCACCCAAGUGCAGAAGAAAUACCUUGUUUCUCCUCCAUCAUAAUCUCCUCUGUAAAGCAACAGAAAAUUUCCUGUUGGAACAGCAUUUUCAUGCCAAAAACAAAUUAGAGACAACAACAGCUUCUCAAAGUUUUAAACAAAAUGAUGGUGCCUAUGUGCUGGAAACGGAGCCAAGUGGGUGACCUGAAGCCACUGUUAUCUUCCGACAAUCAUUGUUGGUCCUUGGCUGAGUGUCACAGCCCCAUCCUCAGGCCACACAUGCCCGGUCUACCAGGAGCACCUUCCGCCCCUGGCUCACCCCUGGGAGACAUUUAAACUGACCCCCCUCUUUCAUACCCAGUCUCCAGCCGCCACAGAGCUCUCCUUUGUGUCCCCUGCUCCUGUCUCCUCUAUCAAUGGGAGUCACUGCCCGCUGCCCUUCCUGUACUGCCAGGUUUUCUGGAGCCUGUGACCAAACCCCUGGUGUGUGUUCCCACCACAACCUCAGGAGGAGAUGGAGAAAACCACAGACGGCCUCAGCCGUGAGGUCAGCGGCUUGUUCCCUUGCACUUGGCUUGGACGUACAGACAUGGAAGCUUAGAGCAGUAUGAGACCUUCAGGCCAACCAGGCCAGCCCCUGUUUUAUAACUAAGGGACUGAGGUGCAGGUUUUGACUUUUUAUCUCCCAGCCUUCACUUCCCAUCAUCUUCCUAUCUCAGAAGCCCCAUUUAAUGUUGUUAAGAGCCGUAAAUGUAACUGGCCACUAAUGUGGAAGGAUUGUGAUCUCCAGCAAACGGCCCCAGCAAAGAAAGGAGCAGGAAUCCUGGGUCUGUUCCCAACCGUGCCAGUGACUCACUGGAUGACACAAAGUAAUGUGGUUCUUUUGUUGGGGGGAGAGAUGUGAGAAGACGACGCACACAGCUGCUCGCCUGACAGAGGUGAAAGGGUGGAGGAGAAGCCAUUUGACAGGCUCCCAGCAUAGUGGAGGCUCAGGGGUCCCUGGGUGAAUCCAGUUCCAUAGUAACUGCUUAGCAAUGGCCGGCUGGGUCAGCCCUGAGCUCUGGCCCACUUGAGCCCCUGCCUCCGAUGGAGCCGCUAAGAUGGCGUGGGCUGGAUUAUGGCACUUACCCUUCAUGACAUCAUUCUCAUUGGUUAGGAAUGCGCCCUGGUUGUUCCUAACUCCACUUUAAUAACUUGUUAUAGAUCUGCCCUCCAGGAAUUUGUUUGAAACUUUCUUUAAUCUAUUUAUAUUUCAGCCUGUGCAGCCUUUUCAGGCGGCAAGUAGACUGACCAUUUAUGUAAAAGCACUUAGGUCCUAAAACACAGAAAGUGCUAUAUUAGGGUUCUUAUCAUAAUAAAACGUUUGUAAUUAUAAUGUAUUUAAUAAUGAUAUUAUAAUUUGAUGAUAACAGUGAAUUCAGGUGGUCUCACAGGCUUAUUUUUAGUCACUCACUCUGUUUGUCUUUGUCUUUAUCUCCCCACGCACCACUCCCUAGCCAUCAAAAAGUAUUUAUUAAUGGAGUGAGGGGCUGUCAUGGGUAUAACAAUGCAUGCAAACUUAGAUAAACACAUUCAGUGUCCUCUAAAGACUUACCAUCUACCACCAACAUACAGUAGGUGCUCAAUAAAUACUUGUUGGGCGAAUGGAUGGAUGGAAGGAAUUAAAAAAACCUGCGUGGUAACUGGUGAGACAUAUUAGGAAUGACUAUUUUGGGGGUUGGAGAGCAAACCUGAGAGCAUCAUGGGCAAGGAGGGAAAAGGGAACAUCCUGAUUUUCUGGUCAAUGCGCACGUGUGAGCUCUCCUCAGAUUGGCCCUAGAGCUCAUCCUGGAGGAAGAGCUGGUUUCCAGGCUGCUGAAAUGAUGCCUAGAGGAGGCAGGCCAAGGGGCACCCCCAUGGCAGGUGCCAUAUGGGUUGCAGGAGUGAGGAGGCAGGUACGGGGUCCAGAAGAGAAAGACCGGUCCCUGUGGCUAUCUCUAUUUUCAGUAGGAACCACACCGGAAUGUUUUAAAAAUCCCAUGACUCAGUAGGUGAAUGGCCAAAUAAAUUGUGGUACAUCCAAACAAUGGAAUAUUAUUCAAUGCCAAAAAGAAAUGAGCUAUCAAGCCAUGAAAACACAUGGAGGAAACUUAAGUGUGCAUAUCAAUAAGUGAAAGGAGCCAACUGAAAAGGCUAUGUGCUGUAUGAUUCCAACUAUAUGACCUACUGGAAAAGGCAAAACUACGGAGACAGUAAGAAGAUCAGUGGUUGUCAGGGGUUAGUGGGGAGGGAGGGAUGAAUAGGCGGAGCGCAGAGGAUUUUUAGGGCAAACUACUCUGUGUGAUACUGUAAUGGUGCAUAUGUGUCAUUAGACAUUUGUCCAAACCCACGGAACAUACACCACCAAGAGUGAACCCUAAUGUAAACUGUGGACUUUGGGGGAUUACGAUGUGUCAGUGUAGGUUCAUCAGUUGUAACAAAUGUACCACUCUGGUCCAUCUGGU